CCGGCGACCGGCGGACGGGUGCGUAACGCGUAUGUAACCUACCUUUGACAGGGGGAUAACAUCGAGAAAUUGGUACUAAUACCCCAUAACAUCACCGGAGGCAUCUUCGGUGGUUGAAAACUCAGGUGGUCAGAGAUGGACAUGCGUUGUAUUAGCUAGUUGGUGAGGUAACGGCUCACCAAGGCGACGAUACAUAGGGGGACUGAGAGGUCAACCCCCCCACAUUGGUACUGAGACACGGACCAAACUCCUACGGAAGGCAGCAG
rnacentral:rRNA from 1 species